UACGAAGGGGGCUAGCGUUGCUCGGAAUUACUGGGCGUAAAGCGCACGUAGGCGGCUUUCUAAGUCGGGGUGAAAUCCUGGAGCUCAACUCCAGAACUGCCUUCGAUACUGGAAAGCUCGAGUCCGGGAGAGGUGAGUGGAACUGCGAGUGUAGAGGUGAAAUUCGUAGAUAUUCGCAAGAACACCAGUGGCGAAGGCGGCUCACUGGCCCGGUACUGACGCUGAGGAGCGAAAGCGUGGGGAGCAAACAGG
rnacentral:rRNA from 1 species